GACAGAGGGGGCAAGCGUUGCUCGGAAUCACUGGGCGUAAAGGGCGCGUAGGCGGGAUGGCAAGUCGGUCGUGAAAUCCUUCGGCUCAACCGAAGAACGUCGGCCCGAUACUGCCGUUCUUGAGGGAUGCAGAGGAGAUUGGAAUUCCCGGUGUAAGCGGUGAAAUGUGUAGAUAUUGGAGGGAGACACCGGUGGCGAAGGCGGCCACC
rnacentral:rRNA from 1 species